rnacentral:rRNA from 2 species
GCAAGUCGAACGAACUCUGGUAUUGAUUGGUGCUUGCAUCAUGAUUUACAUUUGAGUGAGUGGCGAACUGGUGAGUAACACGUGGGAAACCUGCCCAGAAGCGGGGGAUAACACCUGGAAACAGAUGCUAAUACCGCAUAACAACUUGGACCGCAUGGUCCGAGUUUGAAAGAUGGCUUCGGCUAUCACUUUUGGAUGGUCCCGCGGCGUAUUAGCUAGAUGGUGGGGUAACGGCUCACCAUGGCAAUGAUACGUAGCCGACCUGAGAGGGUAAUCGGCCACAUUGGGACUGAGACACGGCCCAAACUCCUACGGGAGGCAGCAGUAGGGAAUCUUCCACAAUGGACGAAAGUCUGAUGGAGCAACGCCGCGUGAGUGAAGAAGGGUUUCGGCUCGUAAAACUCUGUUGUUAAAGAAGAACAUAUCUGAGAGUAACUGUUCAGGUAUUGACGGUAUUUAACCAGAAAGCCACGGCUAACUACGUGCCAGCAGCCGCGGUAAUACGUAGGUGGCAAGCGUUGUCCGGAUUUAUUGGGCGUAAAGCGAGCGCAGGCGGUUUUUUAAGUCUGAUGUGAAAGCCUUCGGCUCAACCGAAGAAGUGCAUCGGAAACUGGGAAACUUGAGUGCAGAAGAGGACAGUGGAACUCCAUGUGUAGCGGUGAAAUGCGUAGAUAUAUGGAAGAACACCAGUGGCGAAGGCGGCUGUCUGGUCUGUAACUGACGCUGAGGCUCGAAAGUAUGGGUAGCAAACAGGAUUAGAUACCCUGGUAGUCCAUACCGUAAACGAUGAAUGCUAAGUGUUGGAGGGUUUCCGCCCUUCAGUGCUGCAGCUAACGCAUUAAGCAUUCCGCCUGGGGAGUACGGCCGCAAGGCUGAAACUCAAAGGAAUUGACGGGGGCCCGCACAAGCGGUGGAGCAUGUGGUUUAAUUCGAAGCUACGCGAAGAACCUUACCAGGUCUUGACAUACUAUGCAAAUCUAAGAGAUUAGACGUUCCCUUCGGGGACAUGGAUACAGGUGGUGCAUGGUUGUCGUCAGCUCGUGUCGUGAGAUGUUGGGUUAAGUCCCGCAACGAGCGCAACCCUUAUUAUCAGUUGCCAGCAUUAAGUUGGGCACUCUGGUGAGACUGCCGGUGACAAACCGGAGGAAGGUGGGGAUGACGUCAAAUCAUCAUGCCCCUUAUGACCUGGGCUACACACGUGCUACAAUGGAUGGUACAACGAGUUGCGAACUCGCGAGAGUAAGCUAAUCUCUUAAAGCCAUUCUCAGUUCGGAUUGUAGGCUGCAACUCGCCUACAUGAAGUCGGAAUCGCUAGUAAUCGCGGAUCAGCAUGCCGCGGUGAAUACGUUCCCGGGCCUUGUACACACCGCCCGUCACACCAUGAGAGUUUGUAACACCCAAAGUCGGUGGGGUAA